rnacentral:rRNA from 1 species
AGUGAACGCUGGCGGUAGGCCUAACACAUGCAAGUCGAACGGCAGCACAGUAAGAGCUUGCUCUUACGGGUGGCGAGUGGCGGACGGGUGAGGAAUACAUCGGAAUCUACUUUUUCGUGGGGGAUAACGUAGGGAAACUUACGCUAAUACCGCAUACGACCUACGGGUGAAAGCAGGGGAUCUUCGGACCUUGCGCGAUUGAAUGAGCCGAUGUCGGAUUAGCUAGUUGGCGGGGUAAAGGCCCACCAAGGCGACGAUCCGUAGCUGGUCUGAGAGGAUGAUUCGCCACACUGGAACUGGGGAACCGUCCAAACUCCUAAGGGAGGCAACAGUUGGGAAUAUUGGACAAUGGGGGGAAGCCUUAUCCAGCCAUACCGCGUGGGUGAAGAAGGCCUUCGGGUUGUAAAGCCCUUUUGUUGGGAAAGAAAAGCAGCAGGUUAAUACCCCGCUGUUCUGACGGUACCCAAAGAAUAAGCACCGGCUAACUUCGUG